rnacentral:rRNA from 1 species
ACCGGCGCGACGGGUGCGUAACGCGUAUCCAACCUUCCCGUUACUCUUGGAUAGCCUUCCGAAAGGGAGAUUAAUACAAGAUGGUAUUCAAAUUCCGCAUGUUAUUUGAAUUAAAGAUUUAUCGGUAACCGGAUGGGGAUGCGUGACAUUAGGUAGAUGGCGGGGUAACGGCCCACCAUGCCUACGAUGUCUAGGGGUUCUGAGAGGAAGGUCCCCCACACUGGAACUGAGACACGGUCCAGACUCCUACGGGAGGCAGCAGUGGGGAAUAUUGCACAAUGGGGGAAACCCUGAUGCAGCGACGCCGCGUGAGUGAAGAAGUAUUUCGGUACGUAAAGCUCUAUCAGCAAGGAAGAAAUACCGACCUUUGGUCGCUAGACGGUACUUGACUAAGAAGCCCCGGCUAACUACGUG